UGCGUUUCAGGUCAGCAGCUUCAUUGGCCCAUUGCUUUUGUGAUUCAUGCUGCUGCUUGCUGAACUUAACUUGGUUGUAUAUUAUUAUUUACCUGAGUCACCCUAUUACCCAGAGGCCCCAGAUGAUACUGACACAUAAUAUGUACUAAAACAGGACAAUAUUCUAGCCCCAGACAACUUGCAGUGUGAAAAAGAGAAAAGGAGAAGUAGCAUAAUUGGAAAUACAAUUCGGAUUUCACAAAAGAGAAUUAGGUGUUUUAUCACUACUCAUGUAACUGUAUUAUUUUACUGUACUUUCAUUUGUCUACCAAUGACUUUUUCAUCCACCAAUCUGUUGACAAGAGUUUUGUUGAAAGCUGGCUUUGCCCCACUUGGUGUUAGAGCCAUUUUAAGCUCUCGCAUAGAUUUUAUGUAGUUGUCACAUACUAAGAAAUCAGGCUGCUCAACAGAGUAUUCAGUACAACUGACAAAAAGACAUGUUAGCUUGCGAAGUAAUAUAAUAUAGAGACAAAAUUUAUUGUGGUAGUCCACCUAUCUCUUGAAAGAUCCUUGGCAAUCUUUUUUACCAGUCCUACAAAGAGAUAAGAUCUAUUUAUUCAUCUGUACUCCUGGGACAAGCUGCCUAAAAGAUUAUAGCCAGUGAGUUUGCUUAUUUGCAGAUAAUAUAUUUAAAUCCCUUUGAGCAUGGAACUAAAACAAAUCUAUCCCUGCAUAACAUGCAGGCUGGAUUUUUGAAGAAAGCAGUUCAUGGAAGAAACACGAACACAGAAUUAGAUGGAUAGGGUGACUAUAUUAUACAUAUGUAAAAAGGAAGGUCAGAUUUCAUGCCUGCCUAUUUUGAUGAUGUUAUUGUCAUGUCAGAAAUUCCGAGUCACUCUUGGAACACUUUCCAGGACUCAGGAUACAUGGAAGCAACAAAGACUAAUGGAGCAAUUUUCCACCCUUCAGUGCAACCAUUUUUCAGCUGCAGCAGUUUUCUGAAGAGGCCUCCUGUUUGAAUAUAACAUUGCAAUAAUAAUUACCUAGUCACAUUAGCAUAACAUCUGUCGCAAACACACAGUCUGCACUACAGAUCAUUUCUCUGCUUUGCAGAGUUCCUUAUUUGGCACCUUAGUUGCUUAGUUUGUGAGGGUAACCACAUCAGCAAUUGCUCAAACAGGAUAUUUUCAUUUGUGUUUCCAUAAUCUUAUCUUUGCUGGUCAUAACAGCAAGAGAUUUUUUUUGGUUGAGAAGAGAUUCUCCUUUUCAACACCAGACAGCCCUAUUCACAGGAAGAUAAGAGGUAGGGGCUAAAUCUAUCAUAUGUCUUCAAAUAUCAACAUUAAACUAGAUCCUAUUAUAAAAAUAAGCCAGAAAAAUCUUUACUUGAAAUGGGGUAACGAAGGGGUAAGUCAUACUUUUCUAUUUCAAACCUGGAACAGGUGCUUCCAAUUAAAGAGCAUUUGUUUGAAAACACAGUGUUUUCUUUCCAGGUAAUAUUUACCAUUCCAAAAUUGUCAUCUCCGGAUGAAAAAGACUACAGAAGUAGACAUGCCUUGGUAUUCUCCUUUUGCAUUCUGUACUCUUUUAGACUUGCACAUGGAUUAUGAUCAAGCUGAAAGGUGACCUGAAUUUUCCACAGCUAUAUCUAUCAAAUGAGGUUUGUUUCCCUUCUGAUUGUGUGGUUAAGCACCGUGGUGGUGUAGAUACGAUCCCUCUAUAACUAUGCAUGAUUUGUGGUCCUUGUUGGACCAUAACUCACUGGUUAAACCAGGGCCUCCAGGCCACAGGUACCCUGCCACCUCCUUUACAUUCCUUUUGCCUUUUCACCACAAAUGUCACUAUUGUUUUCUGCAUCAGGGACAGGGAAGGGUGUGAUGAGAGCAAUUGCUUACUGGUUUGGCUUUUUUGAUGGAGAGGAAGCCAUUUGAAAGUGUGUUGCAUAAAUCAGUGGCUCUCUGGCUCUCCAGCUGCAGUAGUAUGUGAAAGAGAUAGGCUGCUUAAGGCUAGGCAAGAAAUGAUGAAAGGUAUCUAGCGCAGUGCCAGGGGCAAAUCACAGAUCUGUGAGGAUAUAGGGUGCUAGGCAUGGCUUUGGUAAAGUCUCAGAAAAUUCAUGGUUCUGCAGAUAGUAAAGAGCUGUAGAUAUAGAGAUGUAGCACCAGUCCGCAGCUUGCACUGGUGUGCUCAACAUGUUGCCAACACUUGUAGAUGAAAGAAAAAAUGGCCUUCUGCUUAGUUGUUACCGCAGUUUAAAAACAUAAAAAGUCUUUGACCACAUAAGGCAAAAAAAGCAAGACAGUGGUGAGCUGUUGUUAUGUCAUUUUGCAUGUUUGUACAACACCCAGAAAUGCUGUCUGGAGCAGUCAUUUAUUCCAUACCCACCUGAUAGGAUAUCCUUUUUUUUUUUUAAUAUGCUUUAGACUCAUAUCUUAUUCUGUAAACCUGUGAGACUCCUUAUCUCUGCAUCUUAGUCACGACUUAGUGUUUUCAGUAACUUCUCUGAGAUCGGAAUGACAUUAUGACAGGAUGUUACAAUUUAGUUUAGUUUAUCUUUUUAAUUCCAUUUAACAGUCCAAAACAAAUUAGGGAAGUUAAUAGCAAGGAUUCAGGGCUAUAAGGAACUGUACCCUGAGCCACCAAAAUAUUUAAGCACACCAGUAGUCCCACAGGUUGAUGAAGUUGUGUGUAGAUUUAAUGUAUUUGGUUAAGCCAGCACACUCAGAUCAAGUCUCAUGUGAGCGAUAUUUCUCCGUUCUUUGUCAAUCAUUAACAGCUGUUUCACAAAUCAUUUUCUGAUAAUAGAUAUGAUAGGAUUUCAGGCCUCCUGAAAGGAGGUUACAAAGUUCCUUAUCCUUGCCAUAAUCACAGCCUAAUUAAGUAGGAGGUUUUAUUCUGCUCCUGUUGGUAUAUGUGAUGAAAUGGUAAAUGGAAAUGAUUGUAUCAAAUCUGAUGGAUGGUAGAAGAUGCAAGAUAGGGAAAGAGGGAAGGAAAGGUGUUUUAUUUGAAAAUUUGCAGAAGGAGAUUAUAGGAAAGACCUCUCACAUAAUGAAAUGGGAGAUGGAACAAGGGCAAAAGUCAGCAGAAGAUUGCAACCAAAUCUGGUACCUUCCUUCCUCUCCAUUGGUCUCAGCCCCUCACCAUCUCUCUCAUAGUACCUUCAUCUCUACAGGCCCUUGUGGAACAGACCUGUUUUCUCUAACAGUUUUCUCUUUACAGCUUUUGCUGCUUUUUUCCCUGACCAACAUUUUGCUUCAAUUAUUAAAACCUAAUGUCUUUUUAGCAAGACAAAUAAACCCCAAACCUGUGUGGAAAGAUUUAUGGCAGGUGUCUGUCUGGUCAGUGUAAGUGCAGAUUAAAUGGAAUAUUGUUCAUGCAUGGACCUUAUAGCUGUUGUUCAAGAAUACAGAGCAGAAGUUCACCCUAUGCUAGUUUAAGGAUAAUCUCAGUUUGCAACUAGCUGCUUCAGAGAUUAUGGCUUAAUGUAUUACCAAAUUAUGGUUGUCAGUCUCAGACCACAGGCAGAUCUGCCUCAAUAAUUGGCUAACAAAUCUGGAACUAAUUCUCAGAAGAGCUCAAGGACAGCUGAGCUCACAAUGUCUUUACUACAGUGGAAGGCAAAUCCUAUUUUUUCAUCUUCUUUCAUCUUCAAAAAUCACCCUUUGUGCUUUUGGAAGGUGAUUAGAUAAUAUAGCUUAUUGCAACACUUUCCCUUACUGUUAAAUACAGCUGUUAUAACACAAGAACAUAAAUUUCUAACAGUUAUAAAUUUGAAUAUAAACAGUAAUGUGUGCUGAAAUGGAACAUUUAGGUGAGAAAUAAGAUAAUAAUCAGAACAGGCACUUCAGUUAAAUAUUGCAACCAGUGCCUGAGUUUAAAUGUAGUCAAAUGGUUCUGUGUGUUUAAUGGGACAUUCUGUUGCUACAGAAAUAAUUUGCAUUCUAUCAUUAUGUAAUGUACCGAAACUGAAACAAUUUUUUCAUACUUAUAAUGGAGAACAAAAUAUAAACCAUACAUUUAAAACACAAGGAAGAAAUUAUUCAACCGUGGUAACACAGUAAGCUUUAGUAUAUUCAACAAUUCUAUUAAUAUUAAUUUUGAACAUUUUGUUAUACAUUUGUGAACAACUACAGCUUAAGUCAUCAAAAUGGAAAAAUGGGGGGUUAAUCUUUGAUGUUUAUCUUAUUACUAUGCAUAACAACACUAUGCUUCUGGAUAGCAAAUAGAUUCCCAUAGAACAAUACCGAUGUGACUCCAUUUUCAGCUUUCUGAGGAACCAUCCAAAUUUAACAAAAAACCCCCCCAAACUCUAGCACAUUUUAUUUUAGAUUUUUAAAGGUAUUUCCAGAAGUUUUAAUUGAAAUAUCAGGAAAACAGUGAUUUUUUUUUCAGCAAAAAGCUAAGACCUGAUUCUGCUACACUGACACAAAAGAAAAAUCUGCCAUUGGCUUCAUGCUUGAACUCUGCUUCUUCCAUGGUAUCUAAGCAUCUCCAAAUGAGUCAUAUUUUCCUAUAUCCUCAGUACAUAAACAUGUGAAUGAACACAGUAAUGAAUGUGAAUGAGCACAGCAGAGGUUCUUGGCUUAUAUUUAUUCCUUACAUGGUCCUUACAUGGACCAUGAAGCUACCCUCUCUUAUAAGAAACCAGUGAGUCUGAUGCUACUGAGUGGAACAAGAGGUACAGUUGGGCUGAGUCACUGAGGGGAAGAAGGACAGUGGGUUUAGAAGAAAUGUGAGUGCUGUAGCAAAAAGUGUGGAGCGAAAUGAACAUAUGGGGCAGCCCAUACUUUAGGGUGAAUGCCAUAUCCGCAGUGACUCACCAAGACCACGAGGGAAUGGAGUGGACUGAAAAGCAGUCAUGUGAGUCUUGGAGUUAGGAAAUGGCCAGAUGUCGUCCUGAUCCACCUGAUGAAACAGGUUUGCAUGAAAGAAACUUGGAUCAAAAGAAAACCUACUUAUGGCCCCCCUGCAUCCAUAGGAGAUGGUUCUGUUUCUGGGGAUCUUCCACUGUGGCCAAACUGGUCAUGGUGAAAAGUAGAGCCCACAUGGCAUUAUGAGGACUGCAUGUAUCAUUUCCUUGAAAAAGAUUGCUCAGAAAUGUCUACCCAUACCCAUAAAGCAAGAGAAGAGAGAAAUGCAGUAAAAUACUUGUUCUUGCCUUAGGAGCAGAAAGGUGAAGUGUCAAAGAUCCAGCUGCUGAAAUGUGUCUCACUGUGGAAAAUAACACUAUCUGUCUACAUUUUUAUUAUUUUGAUUGUGUCCUUGGACUGUGUCAGUCUGCCCUGAUACAGGCAUCACAAUCACCUGAAGCAAAGCAAGAGCAAAAAGUGCACAAGCGAGAAAUGUGGAUACAUCACAAAUGCAGUCUGAAACCACCGUAACUGAAUCCCUGGCAGAAGCAUGUUUCCAGGCAGCUAUUGCUCUAACUUUCAUGGACACAUCUGCCAAAGCGAAGCAAAGCAAAGUAAAAUCCAGCCUGUUACCUGGGAGGUGACCCACUUGUGUUCCCUGGUAGUUCUGCCGAAAGGAGGGAGGCAAGAGGACAGAUUUUUGAAAAUAAAGUAGUAGAAAUAAGCUGCUGCCAAAAUGCAAUCAUUAUUAAAAAUAUGCUAAUACUAAGUAAUAAACAUCAGUUAUCAGUUAUUGCAAAGAGCAAGUCAUAUUCUUUUGCACUCUGGAGGAUGGAAGAGCUGUGACACUUGUUUCUAUGGUAUAUAUCCCUGGACAAAGAUGGAGCGACCUGCAUAUCAUCCUUGCAUUGGCUUCAUGUCAUACUAAGAAAAAUUAUUAAAUCAUUUAAAUUUUUUUUAAUUUAAAUUUUUCUGAGUUCUUUAAACUCAGAAAGUU